UUCACAACAACAAUAAUAAUAAUAAUCAGAAAUUUAAAAGGUACGUGUCGUCAUGCCCAUAAAAAUGCUCGUAAAACACAUGAAUUAUUACAAUUGGUAAAUAUGCGAAAAUAUUCCCCCCCCCACUCCCA